rnacentral:rRNA from 1 species
AUUGAACGCUGGCGGCAGGCCUAACACAUGCAAGUCGAGCGGAGCGGCGGACGGGUGAGUAAUUCCUAGGAAUCUGCCUGGUAGUGGGGGAUAACGUCCGGAAACGGGCGCUAAUACCGCAUACUUUCAGAUCAGCCUAGGUCGGAUUAGCUAGUUGGUGGGGUAAAGGCCUACCAAGGCGACGAUCCGUAACUGGUCUGAGAGGAUGAUCAGGCACACUGGAACUGAGACACGGUCCAGAGUCCUACGGGGGGCAGCAGUGGGGAAUAUUGGGCAAUGGGCGAAAGCCUGAUCCAGCCAUGCCGCGGGCGGAAUGACGGCCUUCGGGUUGUAAACCGCUUUCAGCCAUGACGCGGUAGUGGCAGAAGAAGCACCGGCUAACUACGUGCCAGCAGCCGCGGUAAUUC